rnacentral:sRNA from 1 species
AUAGAGAGAAAGAGUAAGAGUGAGCACAAAGCGAACGGUAGAGCUGUUGAAAGGAAAAGCUAGCUCGUGCUUUCGGCGGUUUUGGAAGAGUUUUUUCAACUCGUCAAUGCGCUACAAAGCUUUGGUUAAGCUGAUGCUCUUGAGAACGGAACUUCAAUAUGUUAUUAUAGUAUUUCAGGCUAAUUUUAAUUUUUGAAACUUUCGUAAAAAAUGUAUACAUAUAUUGGGCUAACUUGUCGAGUCGUUUAUGUGAAUUACGUAUGCUUUCAGCAAAUCUAAAUGCCGAGCAAGUGUAGCGCACGUCGACAUAUUCACUUGUUAGGAGCGGGGCAAUAAACUUUUGUGUGGGCGCAUUUAAGAGAAGUCGGUAUUCGUGAACUUGAAAGCAUAUGUAAUAAGAGCUGAGCUGGGCUAAGCAAAGAGCAACGCCAGCAUAUACAUGUGCUUUGGAUAGCUUAUAAGCUCUACAAGCUUGCCACAUGCUUUAAAG